UACGAAGGGAGCUAGCGUAGUUCGGAAUUACUGGGCGUAAAGAGUAUGUAGGCGGCUAGAUAAGUUAAAUGUGAAAGCCCAUGGCCCAACUUUGGAAUUGCAUUUAAAACUAUUUAGCUAGAGUAUGAUAAGAGGAAGGUGAAUACAUAGUGUAGAGGUGAAAUUCGUAGAUAUUAUGUAGAACACCAGUUGCGAAAGCGGCUUUCUGGAUCAUUACUGACGCUGAGAUACGAAAGUAUGGGUAGCGAAGAGGAUUAGAUACCCUCGUAGUCCAUACUGUAAACGAUGAUUAUUAGAUGUGGGGAAUUAUUUCUCUGUAUCACAGCUAACGCGUUAAAUAAUCCGCCUGGGGAGUACGACCGCAAGGUUAAAACUCAAAUGAAUUGACGGGGACCCGCACAAGCGGUGGAGCAUGUGGGUUAAUUCGAAGCAACGCGCAGAACCUUACCAACCCUUGACAUGUUCGUCGCGAGACUAGGAAAUUAGUCUCUUCGGUUCGGCCGGACGAAACACAGGUGCUGCAUGGCUGUCGUCAGCUCGUGUCGUGAGAUGUUGGGUUAAGUCCCGCACCGAGCGCACCCCCUUCGUCUUAGUGGCCAUCACGGUUCAGCUGGGCACUCUAAUGGAACUGCCGGUGCUAAACAGGAGGAAGGUGGGGAUGACGUCAAGUCCUCAUGGCCCUUACGGGCUGGGCUACACACGUGCUACAAUGGCAAGUACAAUGAGCUGCCGCACAGCGAGGUGUAGCCAAUCUCAAAAACAUGUCUCAGUUCGGAUUGCACUCUGCAACUCGAGUGCAUGAAGCUGGAAUCGCUAGUAAUCGCGGAUCAGCGCGCCACGGUGAAUACGUUCCCGGGUCU
rnacentral:rRNA from 1 species